CCUCCCCCACACCCCCGCCCCCUGCCCUUCCCGAGGGCAGCAGCCGUGGCCCGGAGAUAAGCGCUAGCCGCGCGGGGCUCCGCCUGGGCUAGUGGCACCGACUUGGCAGCUCGACUUGAAAGGGGGAGCCGGGCGGCGUAGGAGGCGAGAGCCGGCCACAGAAAUCCGCUCGGCGGCAUUUUCUCUUCAAACUGGCCAGGUCCGGUGUGGCAUUUGAAGAAAGAAGGCGUGGGUCAAUAAUCAACCCGCACUUUCUCCUCCAAACUGCUGACGCGACUCUCACGCUGCUCAGCUGAGCCAGCUGCCUGCAGGGCCGGCCAGCUCUGUGAGACCUGCCAGGGCGGCCGGCCGGCCAAGGGAUCCAGGGCACCGAGAAACUACCCUUGGCUGCUGCUGUGUCCUUUCCAGGCCAAUCCCGCAGCCAGGCACCCGGCUCCACCAAAACCACUGAGGUUUUCUUUGCUAAGAAGACCCCAUGGCUCCCCAAAUUCCCCCCAAGUCCCCGUGCUCCCAACCUCUCGCCGACGGGUUCCAGAAGAAGCCCUUUUCUCGGCUCUAGAAGAAUAUUUGGAACAGCGAGGGCACACUGCUGCCUUCUGGGGUCUAUCUGUGACGUGUCUGAGAGGCCACCGUGGCUGGGAGCGCUGGCUGGGCAGCCAGGGUCCAAGGUGAGGAACGGCUGUGGGCAAGAAGAGGCCUCCGAACCCCCAAAUGGGUAGGAAAGGUCAGGAGGAAACACACUUGCCUGUGGGGGUGAGGCUGGCGUUGGGGGGUGAGAAGGGGCUAAGCUUUCUCACAGCUACAGUGUAGCUCUCUCUCUCGCUCCUUCCUCGGAGGAAAAGCCGCGCCGGCUCUGUCUGCGGCGGCUGCUUUCCUCGCGCUGCGCACUUUGGUACGGAACCAGCUGGAGGGUCCGCCCUGAGAUAUCGACUCCGCUCGCUGGUACUGAAGCCACAAUAAAAGAUGCCUUUA